rnacentral:rRNA from 1 species
UGCGCAGGUGGGGGUGUAAGUCAGUGGUGAAAUACUGCCGCUUAACGGUAGAACUGCCAUUGAUACUGCGAGUCUUGAGUAUGGUUGAGGUAGGCGGAAUGUGUUGUGUAGCGGUGAAAUGCAUAGAUAUGACACAGAACGCCGAUUGCGAAGGCAGCUUACUAAGCCAUUACUGACGCUGAGGCACGAAAGCGUGGGGAGCGAACAGGAUUAGAUACCCUGGUAGUCC